UCCUUUAAUGCAAUUAAUAAAAUAAAACCGACAAUUACCCAAAAUAAAAUUGAUAAAUUGAUAUGUGCAUUUAUUGUCAAGGGUUUACACCCUUUGAGCCUAGUUGAACAGCCUGAAUUUGUUACAAUGAUGGAAGAUAUUCUUAGUAACAUUGGAUCAUUUAAAAAUUUUUCGAGGAGGUAUUUGCAGAGAAGAAUAGAAGAAAUUUUUGAAAAUCAUGUACAUACUUUAAAAAGUACUUUAAAAGUUCAAUCAUAUAUAUGCACCACGACAGAUUUGUGGUCUACAAAAACCCGUAGCUUUAUGGGAAUAACAGCUCACUGGAUAACACGAGAAACCCUUGAAAGGAAAUCAAGAGCCUUGGCAUGUAGAAGAAUGCCCGGCACCCAUUCAUUUGAUAAAAUUGCUGAAUUAUUGGAAGAAGUCUAUAGAGAGUAUGGAAUUUCUGAUAAACUAAUUGCUACCGUCACAGAUAAUGCAUCCAAUUUUGUCAAGUCAUUUAAUGAAUAUGGUGUGAAAUUAAAUGUUCUUGACAAUGAUUUUGAGGAUGAGAAUGAUCUAUU